UCCCCGCCGCGGGGAAGCGGCAGAGCCGGGCCGGGCUGCGCGGCCCCGUUCCGGCCGCCCAUUAGCGCUCAUUUCCUGGCUGGGGCGAUGGCAGGCGGCCGGGCAGCGCUUUCCCUGCCGCAGCCAAUUGCGUCUUCAGUCCGUAUCGGAGGAUCGCGGGGUGUGAGGCGUGGGAGAGCCCGGGGGCCGGUGCGGGGAGCCGCCGCCAGCCCCGGCGCCGCGGCGGGAGGGGGAGGAAGAGGAGGGAGAGGAGCGAGGAAGAGGCCCCGGGGCGGGCAGCCCCCGGGGUCGGGCCGCGCCGGCCGGGCCAGCCGCUUAAAUGCAACCCCUGGGGCAUCGGCUCCUCUCUGAUGAGACCGCUCCGGGGCUGCCGGGGACGGGGCGUCGUCGUGGGGACCGUCACCCUCUGCCUGGCCGCCGGGUGGGCUCUGCAGACUCCCGGAGGAGUAUCGUUAGUUGUCCCACAACCCAACAUCAACGCAACAGUGGCACAAAACAUCCUCCUCUCAGUUGAAUACUCUUGCAGAGGCGUUGCCACCAUUGAGUGGAAGCACGUGUCGAGCUGGGGCACCACCAAAAUUGUUGAGUGGAAAAGUGGGAAUUACGUCAACGUAUCCACGGUCUACAAGGACAGAGUAACAACUUUUGAAAAUGGCUCUAUACAGCUUCUGAACGUGGGCAUGAGAGAUGCCGGCUACUACUUCAUCACUGUAACAGAGGAGCAUGGAACCAACACCUACGGCACCAUCAUAGUCAACGUUUAUGAGAUUAUCUAUGAAGAUUUACAUUUUGUAGCAGUUCUCUUUGCAUUUCUCGCUGCAGUGUCUGCCAUUUUGAUCUGCUUCAUGUGGCUGUGUAAUAAAUCUCUGCAUCUAUUUCAGAAGAAGACGGCACACAAACUAACAGCAAGUACAACUGAAGAGAUUGAAUUGGAAACCAUUGAGUGUUAGCCAAGGACUGUCUAAUAACAAAACCAAUUCUACCUCAGGAGAAAGUAUUGGCAAAGAAAGCGAGAAGAAACCUAAAAGGACAGGCUGACAGAGCUUCCCCUCUGGUCAGGGACUACGAUGCUCAGGUGCAGAAGUACUAUGGGUUAGAUUUGGAAAAACAGAGAAUUUCUCACGAAGUGCAUAACAAUGCAGCUAGGCCUGGAAGUCUUGACAAAUGUCUUCAGUGCUAGGGUGCAGUGCUUGCACUUCUGCAACACAAGAGAAGUCCUCUUGCAUCCAUAAUUUCUUUUCAGAAAGGGACAAAUCCCGCAACUAUGAGUUCCUAAUAGCUCCACAGCGAUCCUAUUACUUCGUAAUGAAGAGCUUGUUUGACGAAAAGGCUAUCACUACAUGCAGACGUGUCAAUUUAAGUUAGGAACAGUGAAAUGUAAAGAUACAUUUAAGUUUCACACACUCAUCUUCUAAUUAUUAGCAAGAGAAGAUUUGUUGUGUUGCCAAGAGUCAAAACAGCCGCAUAUGAUCGGAUGCACAAAUAGAUGCAUCAGGCUGUUGGCUGAACUGUUGUUCACCAAGGAACAAAACCCCUCUCUGCCUGUAAUCACACAGUGUCUGCUAGCCAAGCAAUGUGGGACCUGGCAUCACAGGUGUUGCAUAAGAUUCACCCAUCUUUCAAGAUCAGGAGACUAUUUUCAACUAGUAUUUUUUCUGUUUCGUAAGUUGUCUUGGGUAACUCAUCAGAACCUAAAAGGAAAACCCUUUCUCUCUCACAGUUCAGUUGCACAGAAGCAAGUACUGCAAGGAAGUGAAAUAACAAGAUGUUCUACACUGGCAAACGCCAACAUAAGUACAAUAGCUGCUUUGGAUACGCACUGAGCAGCAACUUGCCACAAGCAGUUGCUUAAUAGCUGUUUCUUCCAACUAUUCUUUAUUGCUCGAGAAUACAGCAAAAUAACAACUGUCACCAUACAAGUAUGAUGUUAAAUUCAAACAUGUUCUAUGUGCAAGAAGUUCUCUUAUGUGUGUAUAUAUAUAUAUAUAUACACACACACACACACCCCCCUCACAACAUACAAUAUGGACCUAAGUCUGAACCAGUUCAUACAGUCAGGUUUCAAAAAGACCUUUAGCAAUUAAUCAUCAAACAAAAGAAAAGCUUUGUGCAACACCUUACCAGAAACUUCAAGAAGGCUACAAUUACAAUGAAAAAACAUAAACAUGACUUUUUUAUUUUAAAAGAACUCAAAAGAGCUGAUCCUCAGGAGGAUAUUAUUGUUUCCCUGGAUGAUGAUCAGUGACAGUGCAGAAAAAAACCCCCAAACAGCACAAGUGUAGAGAUCCAAGGUCUACUGCAUGGGAGUUACCUGCUUCUAUACAGACAUGAAUUUAUACAAGUCACCCACAAACUCAAAUUGUCAAAAUUUUGCAAGCAGAGUAAGACACCUUCCUCUACAUGCUGGCAAAAAACAAGGACAGAAAACACAAACAAAAUAACUGACACCACGUAGGCUCAUCUACAGCCAUCAGAGAGGAAGACAUUUGCCACAAGCUGUGACUUUGUAACACUCUCAAAUUAAACAAAUCACUAAGUAAACGUAUC